CGCGGGCCAGAACAGUGGGGAUGGCGGAGCCGCGCCGAGUAGCGUUCAUCAGCUUGUCACCGGUGAGGCGUCGCGAGGCCGAGUUCCCGGGCGCCGAGCGCGAGCCGGAGUACCCCCGCGAGCCCCCCCGGCUGGAGCCGGCUCGGGCGGAGCCGCCCGCCCCGCGGGAGAAGCCUCUCCCCCAGCGCGAGGUCAGCCGCGCCGAGCCGCCCAUGUCGCUGCAGCGCGAGCCCCCGCGGCCCGAGCCGCCGCCGCCGCCGCCGCCGCCGCCGCCGCCGACCACAACCACCACCAGCACCAUCACCACCACCACCACGACGCUGCCGCUCCCGCAUCUGCCCCUGCAGCCGCUGCCCCCGCCGCGGGACUCGGCUGCCCGCACCGAGCCGCCGCCGCCGCCGCCGCGACCGCCCAAGGAGACGGUGCGCCUGGAGCUGGUGCUCAAGGACCCCACGGACGAGAGCUGCGUGGAGUUCAGUUAUCCGGAGCUGCUGCUGUGCGGAGAACAACGGAAGAAGCUUGUUCAUACAGAAGACCCAUUUAAUGAUGAGCAUCAGGAGAGACAAGAAGUGGAAAUGUUGGCUAGGAAGUUUGAAAUGAAAUAUGGUGGGAAACCCCGUAAACACCGGAAGGAUCGGCUGCAAGAUUUAAUUGAUAUAGGCUUUGGCUAUGAUGAGACAGAUCCAUUUAUUGAUAACUCAGAGGCUUAUGACGAAUUAGUUCCUGCUUCUCUAACAACAAAAUACGGAGGCUUCUACAUCAACACUGGCACCCUGCAAUUUCGCCAAGCUUCAGAUACUGAAGAAGAUGAUAUUGCAGACAACCAAAAGCACAAGCCACCCAAGGUUCCCAAAAUAAAAGAAGAUGAUAUUGAGAUAAAGAAACGGAAGAGGAAAGAGGAAGGGGAAAAAGAGAAGAAGCCAAGGAAAAAAGUUCCUAAACCACUGGGAGUUGUGGCCCUCAAUUCACACAAGUCUGAAAAAAAGAAGAAACGCUAUAAAGAUUCUCUUUCUAUAGCUGCCAUGAUAAGAAAAUUUCAGAAAGAGAAGGAUGCAUUAAAGAAGGAGUCCAGCCCCAAAGUCCCGGUCACCUCAUCGGCUCCCUCUCUGACUAAGCCCGCCUGUGCUGCCACAGCCCUGGGGAAUGAUGUCCCAGACUUAAAUUUGAACAGUGCUGAUCCAGACCUUUCCAUUUUUGUUAGCACAAAUGAACACGAACUGUUUCAGGAAGCUGAAAAUGCCCUAGAGAUGCUAGAUGAUUUUGACUUUGACAGAUUACUGGAUGCUACUUCAGAUGGUAGCCCCCUAUCUGAGUCAGGGGGAGAAAAUGGAAACACCACCCAGCCAACCUUCACAUCUCAGAUAAUGCCCAAGGUUGUCCCAAUGCUCCCAGAGGGUCUACCUGUACUUCUUGAAAAACGCAUUGAGGACCUUCGUGUAGCUGCUAAACUUUUUGAUGAAGAAGGAAGGAAAAAAUUCUUUACACAGGAUAUGAAUAAUAUUCUUCUAGACAUUGAGUUACAGCUGCAAGAACUGGGUCCCGUUGCUCGUAGUGGUGUCUACUCUCACCUUGAAGCUUUUGUGCCAUGCAAUAAAGAAACACUGGUAAAACGUCUAAAGAAGCUUCAUCUCAAUGUCCAGGAUGAUCGCUUAAGAGAACCUUUGCAAAAACUGAAACUGGCUGUUAGCAAUGUCAUGCCAGAGCAACUUUUCAAAUACCAGGAGGACUGCCAGGCUCGGAGUCAAGCUAAGUGUGCCAAGUUGCAAACAGAUGAAGAACGAGAAAAAAAUGGAUCUGAAGAAGAUGAUGAUGAAAAACCAGGUAAACGUGUCAUAGGCCCAAGAAAGAAAUUCCAUUGGGAUGACACAAUUAGAACUUUAUUAUGUAACCUUGUUGAGAUCAAGUUGGGAUGCUAUGAGUUAGAGCCAAAUAAAAGCCAGUCCGCUGAAGAUUAUCUUAAAUCCUUCAUGGAGACAGAGGUGAAGCCAUUGUGGCCUAAGGGCUGGAUGCAGGCAAGAAUGCUUUUUAAGGAAAGCCGGAGUGUACAUAAUCAUCUUACUUCUGCUCCGGCAAAGAAAAAGGUGAUUCCUGCACCCAAACCCAAAGUCAAGGAAUAUAGUCCAAAAAAGGACCAGAAAGCCUCUGCGUCCGUGGUGUCUUCUGUGGCUCCUUCCGUGAGCUGCAGCACACCCAGUGUUUCCUCUGUCAGCGCCAGCAGCACACCAGCCCAAGAAACCAUCUGUCUUGAUGACUCGCUGGAUGAAGACCUUUCUUUCCCCCCUUCUUCACUGGAUCUUGUUUCCGAAGCUUUAGCUGCCAUCAACAAUGGGAGCAAGGGCCCUGCAAUUGGUUCAAGGAUAAGCGUGCCAACCACCAAACCUCGUGCAGGACUGAGAGAAGAAAAGUUAGCAAGUAUCAUGAGUAAGUUGCCACUGGCUGCUUCCAAAAAAUUAGAUUCUACGCAGACUGCACACUCAUCAAGUCUUAUUGCUGGUCACACAGGGCCAGUACCAAAGAAACCCCAGGAUUUAGCUCAUACUGGCAUUUCUUCAGGCCUUAUUGCUGGUUCUUCAAUUCAGAACCCUAAAGUUUCCUUAGAACCUUUGCCAGCUAGGCUACUUCAACAAGGACUGCAAAGGUCAAGCCAGAUACAUGCUUCUUCCUCUUCACAGACUCAUGGCUCCUCUUCCCAAGCCCAGGUUGCUGCCUCCUCUCAUUCCCUGGGAACAUCCGAGGCCCAAGAUGCUGCUUCGUUAACACAAGUAACAAAGGUGCACCAGCAUUCAGCUGUCCAGCAGAACUAUGUGACUCCAUUGCAAGCAACCAUUAGUAAAUCUCAGACCAACCCAGUGGUGAAAUUAAGUAACAAUCCCCAGCUCUCCUGUUCAUCCCCACUACUCAAGACUUCAGAGAAGCCCCUGAUGUAUCGCCUCCCUCUGUCUACCCCCUCCCCUGGCAGUGGCUCUCAGGGGCCCCACCCCAUGGUUUCUAGGACAGCACCGAGCACCACUACCUCCAGUAACUAUUUAGCCAAGGCUAUGGUGUCACAAAUCCCCACCCAGGGUUUCAAGUCCCCCUUCUCAAUGGCUGCAUCCCCAAAACUUGCCGCUUCUCCCAAACCUGCUACAUCUCCCAAACCUUUGCCCUCACCUAAGUCUUCUGCCUCACCCAAACCCCCUCUGUCUACUAAGCCUUCAGUAUCAAGUAAACUUAUUUCUAAAUCCAACCAAGCUCCCAAGCCUACUGUAUGCCCAAGUUCUUCCAGUCCAAAUGCACUAGUAGCCCAGAGUAGCCACUCCACCAGUAACAACCAAGUCCAUAAACAGCCCAGUGGAAUGAACAUCAGCAGACAGUCUCCCACCUUGAAUUUGUUGUCCUCAAAUCGUCCUUCAGGCCUUCCAUCUACAAAACCUCUUCAGACCCCUUCAAAGCUAACAAACUCGUCAUCCACUGGAACUGUUGGGAAGAACAGCUUGAGUGGAAUUGCAAUGAAUGUACCUGCCAGCAGAGGUAGCAACCUUAACUCAAGUGGAGCUAAUAGGACUAGUCUAUCUGGGGGAACAGGAAGUGGAACACAGGGUGCUACUAAACCGUUGUCUACUCCACAUAGACCAUCCUCUGCCUCAGGGUCUUCAGUGGUAACAGCCAGUGUGCAGUCCACAGCAGGAGCAUCAUUAUUGGCUAAUGCCUCACCUCUGACUCUCAUGACAUCACCUUUGUCUGUAACAAAUCAAAAUGUGACUCCUUUUGGGAUGCUGGGUGGCCUUGUUCCAGUGACCAUGCCCUUCCAGUUUCCCUUGGAGCUCCUUGGCUUUGGAACGGACACAGCUGGAGUGACAACCACCUCGGGAUCUACCUCAGCCGCUUUCCAUCAUAGCCUAACUCAGAAUUUACUAAAGAGUUUACAGCCAGGAACUCAACAUGCAGCAACACUUUCCCACUCACCUCUGCCUACACAUUUACAGCAAGCAUUUAAUGAUGGAGGCCAAAGUAAAGGGGACACUAAGUUACCACGGAAAUCUCAGUGACUUCCCUGCAAGCAGAGAAACAAAACAUUUGGCUGACUGAUUGGAUCUACCUGAUGGGAAAAUCCUUAUGUGGUCACAGGGCUGCUGUUUCUGUCGAUGUUUACAUUCUCGUCCCAAGCACUGUGGUGAGGAGGAAAAGGAAAGAAACCGUUACUUGAGCAAAGCCAGGUGCAGGAGGAAGAACUGCUUUUGUGCAAAACAUCCUCAAGUACAGACUACUAAGUCAGGGGAUUCAGGAGGACGAAUCUCAAACUUGCCAACAUCGUGUCAUGCUGUAAUACUCUUCCUUCUUAUAAUACGUGUAUGGGCACAAUACAUGUGUAAGAUGCAUACAAACAUACAAGUAUAAGACUGGGAGCAGCUAACAGUACCAUUGCACCCUUCCCCAACUUUCCUCUCAGCACCUGCAAAACUUCUGCAUUGUUUAUUCCAUUGCUUUUAGAUGAUUAAAGUGGGCAGAUUGGGAAUUAGUCUUUUCACAAGAGAUUAUCUUCCCAUUUUGGAUAUAUGUAGAAGUUAACAAAUACAUGUGAAAUAUAUGUGUGUGUGUGUGUGUGUGUGUAUAUAUAUAUAUAUAUAUGUUUUUACAUAUAUAUGUAACAUACAUCAGUUAUUACAAAUGUAAUAAAUUUAGUGAACUCAUUGAAACUCCCUGGAUGUAUGUAGGCCACUAUUUCAAAUUUGGCACAAGUAAUCUAAAAGAAAGCAUUGGGACAACAACGUAUCUGUCUGUUAAGUUGAUAAGGUACACUAAAUGGCAGGCAAGACUAAACACAGAGGGCAAAAGCCAGACCCAUGGAAUGAUAUCUGAAUAUACUUUGCAGGAAGUUAGCACUUAUAUCAAUAUUAAAAUGUAUUUUCUUCUGGAAAAUGAGUUUUGAAGAAAUCAUGUAGCUUCAUAUUUUUUAAAACAUUGAUAAACGUAGAAGUAGAAUGGUUUCAAAUACUGAGGAAAACACUCAUAAUCUAUAACAUACUUGAGGGUUUGAAUCUUUCUGUUUGCCACAUAGAUAUAUUUUGCUCUGGUUUUAUAAUUGUUUAGGCUUCUUCCAUGAGCAAAAUAAUGUAACUUUCAGUAUCUGAGAUUCAUGUUUCUUGCUGAAAAUAAAUAGAUGUGGAAUGUUGAAGAAGACUCAGUUGGACCAGUUCUCAAAAGUAGUAAAAAUAUAUCUACUUAGUGCUCUCUUUAAAUACAUCUUAAUUGGGAAGAGGAGAAUGGUGGUUAAAAGGCAAAAUACAAUUCUCCUGGUAGCAAAAUUGUUGUCAGGCAGCUAGAGAUCAGUGCUUUUAAGUAUUAAUUCCUGAAUUACUAUGUCUAGGGGGAGUAUCAUUUAACCUUGGUGCCUCAGAUUACCCAUGAGACAAUUGGGUAUAAUAAUAAUCACCUAUAAUCACCUACCUCCCAGGGAUAUCAGAGACUUUACUAUUUCAAAAAUAUUUUUUAGUUUUUCUAAAAUGACCUAUAUAAUUAUAGUAUUAUCUUCACGUAGAGGCUGAAAAUGAUUUCCUUAUGGUGGGUAUAAAGAGCAUUGUAUGAUUUUUAAGUUUGAAAAAAAUGACUGGAAUUUAAAUUUAGGUACAUAUGAGUUAUUUAAGCAUAUCGGUAGUGGGAUAAAACUGUUCGUUUCAGAUUAACGAAGCAAGGGGGUGACACAGAGUUUCUCAGCUACAAGUAGGUCUUUUAUUAAAGUUAGUUAUGAUGAAGUUUGUAAAGAUUCUGGAUCUAAAGUUAGGUAAGGCUUGUGCAACUAUUGGAAUUGAUGAAUGAUCAUAAAGUUUAUUUGCCUCCUUUUUCCAUCUUCUCAAUCUAACUUCUUUAUAUUAUUUGUUUGGUGAUGAAUAACUAAGCUUUUAACUUUCUAAGAAUUAAUGAGUCUCCUUGUUCUUGAAAAUCUGACCCUGCAUACUGUUCAUAUCCUGCAAGUGCUGGUUCACCUAGCUCUGCACUGGGAGGGGGCACUACACAUAGGCAGCUGUGUAUACUUUCAGCCAGUCCACCUUUGAAUCUUGGGCUACUUCAGCCCAUGAGUGUUGGAGCCAUCACCUCAGGUUGUGGGAAAAUGGGAGAGGUAAGACAGGAUUUACUACCUAGCUGGGGCAGGAGCAGGGACAGUCUGGAAACUGACUCACCUACUUCUAGAAGGAAGUUAAGAUCACUUUAUCCCACUUCCCAUUCCUGUAUACUAAAUAGUAAUGUGUUAACAUUUUCCUUUACCUUUUAAAACAAAUGAAUAAAACAAUAAAACAGGAAAAAUGAAUGCUACAUUUUUAGUUAAGGCUAAACUUGGAGUGUGCGUGGGUGAGAGAGGGAGAGGGAUGGAGCACAUAUUCAGUGUUAGAGGAAGGAAUACAGAGAAUUGAGGAACAGCUAUCCAGUCAAGUUAGGAGAAAGCACUGGAUCUAAACACUCAGAGUAGCUGGGCUAACCCAGAGCUGGCCAAGACCCAGUUAACCUCUCCUAAGAGACUUUGCUUCUGUUUAUAGAAAACCACUUUUUGGAUUUUUGUUGGUUUUUUUCAGAUAAGGCCUUAGUUAGUAGCCUCUAAAUAUCAACUAUGCAGGUAAAAAUAAUCAUUUCCCAUAUUUCCUUCUUUUUCCAUCUUUUAAAUAAAGAAAGUUAAGAUUUUGACCCAAAGAAAUAUGAUAUAAAGCUUUUGUUGAAUGUGUAUGUUUCCUCUGGGAAAAAUUAACAGAAGCAUAAAAAUAUUUUGUGUAUUCAUCAAUCCUAAAAUGUGAACUUUAUAUUCAAAAGAUAACUGAAGAUCCUUUCACUGUAGUUAGUGUUGUAGAAUGCCUUUGGAGGUCUCUUCACACACACCCCCCCCCCAGGUAGGGUUUUGCUAUAGUCCAGGCUGACCUGGAAUUCACUAUGUAAUCUCAGGGUGGCCUUGAACUCAUGGCGAUCCUCCUACCUCUGCCUCACGAGUGCUGGGAUUAAAGGCGUGCACCCCCAUGCCUGGCUGCCUUUUGAGUUUUUAUGGUUAAGUCAUCCAGUGUUCAGUUCUGAGAAAGUUUACAUUCUGUGACAGUGUUCAGGCUGAUAGAUAUGAACAGAUGGGUCAGAUUCUAAUUUAAAAUAGCUUUGAAUAUCAUUGUGGAUUUCUUCCUUCCUUUUCUUUGUUCAUUCUUUCCUUUGUUGUGCCAUCAGCCAGUUGCCUGUCGCUGGAUCUGAGGAGGAAAGGGAGAUGAUGGUCUUCAGCACCCCUUUCUUACUUGUUUCGCCCGUCCUGUGCCCCUAUCAAAGUCCAGGGUCAAGCCUGCAGUGCAGGGCAGGGCAAGGAUAAUUUCCACUUCAGCAGAGGAAGUAGGCAGAUACUCUCCUAUAAAGUGAGACCCUGCCCUGAAAAAAAAAGUUCAGUGAUAGGACCUUUGAAUAGCCUGGUUUUAAUUUUCAUUUUUCUCAUGUACUCUCAAAGUACCAUUUUCUUGGAAGUUGGUAUUUGUGAUCUUUGUUUAAUUUUCUUAUGUUGUAACAUUUCUACUUCUCAGUCUUUCCUAUGUAUUUCCAUUUCAUAGUAUCCAAACUUUGGUUGCUUUUUUACAUUACCCAAACAGAUGAAUAAUACCUUUUGAAAUCUCAGUGAUAUACAGAAUCUAUACAGAGUUGAUGACUUGGAGUCAAUAGUAGUGAUCACUGGUGACUAUAAUUUUUCUCUUUCCAUUUGUGUUGUAAAAAUAGAUUUUUAUGGGUGGAGGGUAUCACGUAGUGGUAGCGCUCUUACCUAGCAAACCUCGGGAUUCCACACUCAUCACUGAAAAAAAAUAACAAAGUAAACAUCACUCUCAUAUAAUGUGGUAGUAGCAUAUUUCGUGGCUUACUCCUGAAACUUCAUGGUUAUUCAGAAUAAAUGCAGAUCUUUUGUAGGGGCUAUUAUUUUGUAAUUGCCUGCCUUUCUUGUUUUCAUUUUUCUCUAGGACACAGCUUCUUUGCAAAGGUCUAAGUUAAUCAGGUCAUUGAAUCCUUAGUAUCAGUUUUCUGUUCCUCAGAGAACUAUACAUUAUUUGGUCCCAUUUUGUCAUUAGUGCUUUAGUUCUGUUUUCUCCUAGAUAUUUGAAAUAGAGCGUUAUAUGGAUAUGGAAGUCUGAUUAAAACACACAUAGGAGAACUUGGAAAUACUUCUGGUUUUGAUGUUAACGGCUCCAUCUCUCCUCAAAGCACAUUCAGGGGUCAACAGCAACCAAGACCAGCCAUUUGGCAAGUUUGUCUAUGUGGCAACCUGUGCUUAAACUAUAACUUCUUUCUUGUGCUUUCUAUACUUGCCUCCUUUUUUGCUUGUCUGUACUUUUUGCUAGAGUAACAAUAUCUCUGUGAGGGUUUUCUUUUCCAUACUUGGCAAAAUUAUCAAGGACUCCCCCAAUUUUGGAAAGCAGCAUUAAAAGAAAAAAUUACUCUCAACUGACAAGAUUUAAUAUCAUCAUAAAGUUGGCCAACUUUGGUCCACUUUAAGUCUUGGCUAUGCCUACAUAAUGAAUUAUAUAUGCCAUCUGACACACUGCACUAAGCAGAGACCUUCCCCAGUAGAGCUAGAUUCUCUGGUGUGUGCUAAGCACUGUCCCAACUUCAAAGAAGAGGAAAAUAAAUCUCUGGCUGGUAAAAUUUUGAGCCCCAAAUAAUGAGUUAAAAUUUAUCAAGGAAAGCUGGGCAUGGUGGUGCACGCCCUUAAUCCCAGCACUGGGGAGGCAGAGGUAGAAGGAUCACCUUGAGUUCAAGGCCACCCUGAGACUACAUAGUGAAUUCCAGGUCAGCCUGGGCUAGAGUGAGACCCUAUCUCAGAAAAAAAAAAAAAAAAAAAAAUUACCAAGUAACUAAGUGGUAGAUGUUUUUUCUCUUUAAUUAUGAGCAAGGUUUAUUUGUGGUGGUAAAAAUUACUAUGGAACUGCAGACCUACUUGCUGUAGCUGGAAAUGAGUGACUUUUGGCUGUGGGUAAUAAGCACAUACUUCGACCUUUUACAGUAUGGGUUUGGAUGAGGGAAAAACUUGGUGGGUAGCAGAAGGAAAAGUAGAAUUUAUUUAUGUAGUUAAUGCCCAUUCUGUAAAGAAACUUCCUCCAAGUAUACAGUUCCUCUGUUAGCCACUGUCACACUUAACCAGAUGCACCAUAUUUGCAAAUCAGUCUCCAAGGAAGGAGUCCUAUAGGUGAAAGGCACAAAUUCUGUGUUGCAUCUACUUGUAAGAAGGCGUGUUUUUGCUGACCGGAAGGAAUAUGCUGUAUUUCAAAUAAGUGUGACUUAAUAUUUGGGGAUUCUUAUUUUCCUCCUUUAAAAACUGGACCUGAACACAAGCUUUGAGUUUGAAUAUUUGUAAUAAUCUCAGGACCUGAAAGAUUGUAGCAUUUAGUGUGUCUUAAAAAUUAUGUACUGUACCAGCCAUGGAUUUUUGUAAAUAUACCUGUCUCCCUUUUUUGUAUUAUUUUAGUAAAAAAUAAUAAUAAAUUUAAAUAAAAGGGGUGGUGAUGACAUGAGAGUGUGUGUGUGUGUGUGUGUGUGUGUGUGUGUGUGUGUGUAAGGCUCUUUGGAGGUGAACUGGUGCUUGUUUAAUUUCUGGCUCAGCUCAGAGCAGGAAUAUGGACAGACUGCUGCUGACCCUGCACUGGGCCUACAGGAGGUAUUGCCGCUCUCCCGGUGGCUCAUUAAAGGCUAGCUAGCAGGAAUUGACGUAGGACUUAAUUCUUCCCACUGCCAUCUUGCUGUUGUACUGUUCUCAGUUUGCAUGUCUUAGGCACUCUGAUAGAAAGCCUCCUAUACAUUGCUCUUACAAAAUUCCUAAGAAAAAAGCAGGUAAAUUUUUAUAACAAAAAAUAAGUAAAUAAAACACACAAAAAACCCUCAUAUUUGAUAAAACCCUGGUGAAUUUUGGAUAUGUGAGAGGCUAUAAACAUUCCUAAAUCCAGAUCUGUGAAUUGAGUGAAUUUACCCAUGGUUUAUUCUCUUCAGUGCAGGGGUUUUUGUUUAUUUCACUUUGCGACAGUUUGCUCAUAUUCCAGGUGUAGCUAGCAAACCCGUUUGGAGCAAGAGCCUUAUUUGAUGGCAGAGUAGAUGCUUCCCGUCUGUCCUUUGUGGCAGACCCUUUUACAUGAGUGUAUUUUCUUUUUGUGUAUGUUACGUGUUUGUUGUAUUGAAUAAAGAGGAAUGUACAUAUGA